GGUCGCAUAGCUCAGUUGGGAGAGCACCUGCCUUACAAGAUCUCCAUCACCAGUUCGAAUCUGGUCGUCGCCUCCA
rnacentral:tRNA from 1 species